rnacentral:sRNA from 1 species
UUUUUGAACCGAUAAGCUUAUAUUAGGGUAGUAUUUUGUUGUUAGUGUUGUGCAAGGCCAAACGUUUAUUGGCAAGCCUGAUCUAGCACAGUCUCUUCCCACCUGAAUCCCAGGGUUCAAAAA